rnacentral:rRNA from 1 species
AAGUAUAAGCACUCUUUUACUGUGAAACUGCGAAUGGCUCAUUAAAUCAGUUAUCGUUUAUUUGAUAGUACCCUACUACAUGGAUACCUGUGGUAAUUCUAGAGCUAAUACAUGCGCAAAACCCCGACUUCGGAAGGGGUGUAUUUAUUAGAUAAAAAACCAAUGCCCUUCGGGGCUCCUUGGUGAUUCAUAAUAACUUCACGAAUCGCAUGGCCUUGCGCCGGCGAUGGUUCAUUCAAAUUUCUGCCCUAUCAACUUUCGAUGGUAGGAUAGUGGCCUACCAUGGUGGCAACGGGUAACGGGGAAUUAGGGUUCGAUUCCGGAGAGGGAGCCUGAGAAACGGCUACCACAUCCAAGGAAGGCAGCAGGCGCGCAAAUUACCCAAUCCCGAUACGGGGAGGUAGUGACAAUAAAUACUGAUACAGGGCUCUUUUGGGUCUUGUAAUUGGAAUGAGAACAAUCUAAAUCCCUUAACGAGGAACAAUUGGAGGGCAAGUCUGGUGCCAGCAGCCGCGGUAAUUCCAGCUCCAAUAGCGUAUAUUAAAGUUGUUGCAGUUAAAAAGCUCGUAGUUGAACCUUGGGCCCGUCCUGCCGGUCCGCCUCACCGCGAGUACUGGUCCGGAUGGGCCUUUCUUUCUGGGGAAUCCCAUGGCCUUCACUGGCUGUGGCGGGGAACCAGGACUUUUACUGUGAAAAAAUUAGAGUGUUCAAAGCAGGCCUUUGCUCGGAUACAUUAGCAUGGAAUAAUAGAAUAGGACGUGCGGUUCUAUUUUGUUGGUUUCUAGGACCGCCGUAAUGAUUAAUAGGGAUAGUCGGGGGCGUCAGUAUUCAGCUGUCAGAGGUGAAAUUCUUGGAUUUGCUGAAGACUAACUACUGCGAAAGCAUUCGCCAAGGAUGUUUUCAUUAAUCAGGGAACGAAAGUUAGGGGAUCGAAGACGAUCAGAUACCGUCGUAGUCUUAACCAUAAACUAUGCCGACUAGGGAUCGGGCGGGGUUUCUAUGAUGACCCGCUCGGCACCUUACGAGAAAUCAAAGUUUUUGGGUUCUGGGGGGAGUAUGGUCGCAAGGCUGAAACUUAAAGAAAUUGACGGAAGGGCACCACAAGGCGUAAACAACCGCUACCGCCGCAGCGACUCUGCGCCUAACAGCAGCCCGAAAGGGUGAUGUGGUGUGCCGAUUAAAUGCUAGUCCGGGCCCCGGCCCGGGCGACACGCUCAAAUUGCGGGAAACUCCUCAAGCUGCCAGCUACCAAGCCGCGCGCCGAAAGGCCGCGGUGGCCAGGGUAACGCCCUCGGGUACGGUGACAACGCCGGCAGAUACGUGGACGAUCCGCAGCCAAGCCCCUACGUCCCUUCGGGAUACGGGGACGGUUCAGAGACUAGAUGGGUGUGGGUUGGCGUCCGCGCCAGCUUAAGAUAUAGUCCGGUAUUGGGGGACAACCCCAGUAGCACAGGUCCCACCGGGAGCCUGCGGCUUAAUUUGACUCAACACGGGGAAACUCACCAGGUCCAGACAAAAUAAGGAUUGACAGAUUGAGAGCUCUUUCUUGAUCUUUUGGAUGGUGGUGCAUGGCCGUUCUUAGUUGGUGGAGUGAUUUGUCUGCUUAAUUGCGAUAACGAACGAGACCUCGGCCCUUAAAUAGCCCGGUCCGCGUUUGCGGGCCGCUGGCUUCUUAGGGGGACUAUCGGCUCAAGCCGAUGGAAGUACGUGGCAAUAACAGGUCUGUGAUGCCCUUAGAUGUUCUGGGCCGCACGCGCGCUACACUGACAGGGCCAGCGAGUACAUCACCUUGGCCGAGAGGUCUGGGUAAUCUUGUUAAACCCUGUCGUGCUGGGGAUAGAGCAUUGCAAUUAUUGCUCUUCAACGAGGAAUGCCUAGUAGGCACGAGUCAUCAGCUCGUGCCGAUUACGUCCCUGCCCUUUGUACACACCGCCCGUCGCUACUACCGAUUGAAUGGCUCAGUGAGGCCUUCGGACUGGCUCAGAGGGGUUGGCAACGACCGCUCAGAGCCGGAAAGUUGGUCAAACUUGGUCAUUUAGAGGAAGUAAAAGUCGUAACAAGGUUUCCGCAUCAAGUCAUGCCGGCUGGAACGCCCUUCCUUCCGCAGUGUACACUUAUCGAAGCCUUUGCAGCCACGCAAGUGGUAGGUCCAGACGACUCUAAACAAGUUGGCGCCGGAUGCAAGUCGCGCCCCCCGCUCCGGGGGGUGUCGGCGACACUUUUGAACUGCCGGGGACACCCUAAAGCCGAUCGCACCAACCUGCGCGGGAAACCGCGCCGGGGCCCAUGGACGCACCAUGGGGGACGGUAACAGCCGAUUCGGAUAGUUCUGCUGCGGCAGAGACCAUGGGCAAUCCGCAGCGAAGCCCCUACGUCCUCCGGGAUACGGGGAACGUUCACAGACUAAGUGGAAGUGGGUGGGACGCCGGUCCUGCUUAAGAUAUAGUCGGGCCCCCCGGGAGAACCGGGGGGGCAAGUACACUACCCGUUCCGUAGGUGAACCUGCGGAAGGAUCAUUACCGAGUGCGGGCCCUCGCGGCCCAACCUCCCACCCUUGUCUCUAUACACCUGUUGCUUUGGCGGGCCCACCGGGGCCACCUGGUCGCCGGGGGACGCACGUCCCCGGGCCCGCGCCCGCCGAAGCGCGCUGUGAACCCUGAUGAAGAUGGGCUGUCUGAGUACUAUGAAAAUUGUCAAAACUUUCAACAAUGGAUCUCUUGGUUCCGGCAUCGAUGAAGAACGCAGCGAAAUGCGAUAAGUAAUGUGAAUUGCAGAAUUCCGUGAAUCAUCGAAUCUUUGAACGCACAUUGCGCCCCCUGGCAUUCCGGGGGGCAUGCCUGUCCGAGCGUCAUUUCUGCCCUCAAGCACGGCUUGUGUGUUGGGUGUGGUCCCCCCGGGGACCUGCCCGAAAGGCAGCGGCGACGUCCGUCUGGUCCUCGAGCGUAUGGGGCUCUGUCACUCGCUCGGGAAGGACCUGCGGGGGUUGGUCACCACCACAUUUUACCACGGUUGACCUCGGAUCAGGUAGGA